GACGAACGCUGGCGGCGUGCUUAACACAUGCAAGUCGAACGGUGAAGCGUCUUCCUUUUUGGUGGGUGUGGAUGAGCGGCGAAGUGGUGAGUAACACGUGAGUCACCUGCCCCCUUCUUCUGGAUAACCGCAUGAAAGUGUGGCUAAUACGGGAUAUUCUGGGUCUGUCGCAUGAUGGGUCUGUGAAAGAUAUUGUUUCGGUUGGGGAUGGGCUCGCGGCCUUUCUGCUUGUUGGUGGGGUGAUGGCCUACCAGGGCGGUGACGGGUGGCCGGCCUGAGAGGGUGGAGGGGCGCGAUGGGAAUGAGACACGGCCGAGACUACGACGGGAGGCAGCAGGGAGGAGUAGUGGACGAUGGGAGCAAGGCUGAUGCAGCGACGGCGCGGGAGGGAUGGAGGCCUUCGGGUUGUGAACCUCUUUCGCCAGUGAAGCAGGCCUGCCUCGUCUGUGGGUGGGUUGACGGUAGCUGGAUAAGAAGCGCCGGCUAACUACGUG
rnacentral:rRNA from 1 species